CCCUUGUUCUACCAGAAUUGUAUAGCGCAAAGAUGCCUCCCUCUGAUGAAGCCCAGACCUGCCCAUUUUUCACUCUAGCUAUCAUAAACACAAACAGAGGCAACAGUGGCAUGACUGAAGUCCCCGGAUGGGAUCAACUGUGGUCUGUGGCUAAGGAAGGGCAGAGUUUGGCUUAUAAAAAUAUCCAAGAAGUGAGCAAGAUUCAUACUGAUGUAACUGUGUUGUUAAUAAAAAUUUUUGUUUCGGUAAUGAACUUUUUUAUACAAUUAUCAAUAUACCAUCAAAGUUAGGAAAGGGGUACCAAGAGAUGUCCAAUGAAUCAUCUUAAUGUCAAACAUCGUUUUCCCUGUCCCCAUUAUAUAAUAAUAGCUCUACGUCCUCCUCAGGAUUGGGGUCAAUUUUCGACGUCAGGAUGUUACCAUUCCUCGUAUGUUGCCCCCUUGACUGCUGGACUCUUGCUGCCCAUGGUAGAAAUGUUCCCUUUGGUGAGUCAUGUCCUUCAUGGCUGUAGAACACAAAGUUGUGAGGAUCGGAGUCCAAAUUUUUUAAGUAGGCCACAGAAAGCGAGGCUAAGCAGGGUCCCUCCAGCCUCCACCUCUUGGAUCCUGGACCUUUGUAUUAUACCUAAUGGUAAAAAAAGAACCAAACCAAACCAAAACCAAAACAGUUCUUGAUUCAGGAUACAUGCUGUAUUUUGGAGGGUAUUUCAUUAUGUUUGCAUGGUAUCUUCAAGCUGGACCCUCAGCUGUGCCUUUGAAAGGCCAUUGCAUUACUGUCAGGUGAUGUGGCAAGUUAUGGGACAAGUUGACCUCAUAUUCGUAUGCCCAGUGUGGACCUUUUCUUCUGUAAAGUGAUUACUUGAUCAGUGUUAGAUGGGAUAGAAUAUCAGAUCAAACACUCUCUAAGCCCUGAGACAGUGGAGCUGCCUCAGUGACUAUAUGGUAACGAAUCACUCUCUCUUCCAAAGUGGAAGACAUCCAGUGUAAUCAAAUGGACAUGGAAGGGCUAUUGACCUACCGGAGAGAUGGUGCCAUUUUGGGAAUUCUGUGUUGGUCUCUCCAGAUGGUAUAUUGGACAUUUAGCAGUGGCAGCACGUAUACACUUCUUGGCUGCAAGAAUUUUGAAGGUGGGCUCCAUAUCCUGUUCAUCAUCUCACAUCCCACUGUGCUCACAGAACACUGCCUUGUAGGUGGUCACUCAAUAGGUUUUGAAUGGAUGCAUUAGUUUUCCUGUCAUGUAUCAAUGCUCUCUUCCUGCCAGUUUUCGAAAUGUGCAGUCAUCAUUUUCAGUUCCUUAUAAAUUCUCUAAGGUCUGUUUGCUGCUGAUUAACUGUGUGUGGAAGAAACAGAAGAGAACCAGAAUCACAAGUCAACAGAUGGUGAAAAAAAUAGUCAGAUGAGGGGGUCGGAGAAUCAAUCGUACUUUGUGAGAAGGGGAAAAAGACACUAAUGGAAGCCCACUUUGUCAGGACUCUGGGAGCCACUCAGAGAGCCUCUUGAAACUAGAACUCCUAAUUUUGAGCUUGAGGGUGAGUGACCGCAGCAGCAGACAUCCCAAGCUCUGUGACAAAAUGGGGAGGAAUUUGUUUUCUCAUCCUUUUCCUAUAGCUUCUGAGGGAACUGCCACCUGUUUGGAACAGCCCACCUUCUCAUCUUCCUGGGUGAUGAAAACCUGCUCCAUGUGGAAAGAGAUGGAAUAUGAGAUCCGUGCUGGAAAAAGCCGUAAAGAUGACCCAGUGCACCUCUUCAUUUCCCUGGAGUUUCGCGAGUGGCAGGGGGUGGUAGAAUUGGAGUCAGGGGACGUGACACAGCUAAAAUGAAAUGUAUGGUUUCCAGCAAACAAAUCUUGAGAGGAAUAUUACAGAUUUAUAAACAUAUUUUGACAAAUUAGUAAAAAUAUGUGUUGAUUUACAAUCAGUUUUCUAUAAAUAAUGACUGUUGUUUAAAAUCUGAAGAGCAUUAAUAUUCUGUCAGGCAUCCUAAACCUUUUGGAGCCUGUCUGUGAGCAGAACUCGAGCAGAACUCUCUGAUGCAGACGAUUAAAGUCUGGAUCUGGUCCAGCAUCUUCAGCCUUGAUUCUGGGCUCUGGCAAUGAAGGGACGCACCUGCGUUAGUCAGGAAACAGCGAGUGUCUGGACUUGGAUUCUCAUUAAAUAAUCAAAUCCAAGAAGACACACUUGGGCAAGGGCCAGGAUCAGGAGAAGGCGACUGAGUAACACAUGCAAACGAGCUCUCUAUUGUCAUUCUCUAACCAGAGUCAGUGACCAGAUGGACAGAAAAUGUUUUGGAUAAGAGCCUGGUGUCAGGCUCAGAUAGACUGAAUUCAAAGCCUGACUGUGUCAAGUACUUUUUGGAAAGCAACCUAACCUCUUUACACUUUAGUUUUCUCAUUUGUAAAACAGCAACAGUAUUCGUACUCAUAGAGAUACUGUAAAUAUUAAAGUACGUAAAAUGCCUAGCAUAUAGUAAGCACUCAAUACACACUGUGGGUAUGAACAUUGUUCCUCUUAAUGCUACUACUUGGUGUCCCGGGGAAGUUUUGUAGCACAAAGAAGGAAGGAUAAAUCAAAGCAAGGAACAUACACAACCUAGGAAUUAAUAGAUCGAUUCUCAUAUCCCUUCUUUGUACUUAUUUACCAAAUCUUAAAAGAAUGCAAUAGAAUUGUUCCUUAGCAUCUUUUCUUGAUUGUAAGAAAGACAUGAUUCUGGCCCUGUUAGUGAAAAGCGGUAUUAUGAAAUAAGAAAUGGAAAAGCUGCUUAAAAAUGAUAGU